CCAGCUCCAAGAGUGUAUAUUAAUACUGCUGUAGUUAAAACGCCCGUAGUAUACCUAAGAGUGCGCAUGUAGUAAUUAGUUCUAUCAAGAGAUGGUUGGGAAGAGUUUAUAACCCUUUUUUGCCUACUUUUGGUAAACUUCAGUCGGUCAGGGCCUUACGGUUCUCGUUCGACAGUUGCUGCGUGUACACUUGUCCACGGUUCAUCCGUGAGGCCCCUUUGGGUUGCAACUGUAAAUAAAUCGUUGUGCUUAAAGCGGGCUAUGAUACUCUGCCAGAGCGAUUUAGCAUGGGACUGCAGAGUAGCUGUAUUUGAGUGAAACCUGGAUUUCGGUUUGGGCGUAGCUUGGNNCAGCGCUUGUAAUGGAGCUCAGGGUGAGGCCCCGGGUACCAUGAGGCUAGAGGUGAAAUUCUGAGACCCUCAUGUGACCAACUAAGGCGAAAGCUGUCGUGGGCCACCACAAGCUCGUCUAUCAGGGACGAAAGUUGGGGGAUCGAAGACGAUUAGAUACCGUCGUAGUCCCAACUAUAAACGAUACCAACCGAGUAUUUGGGAAGACACUAUCCCAGCGAUCUUCUCAGAACUCAAGGGAAACCUUAAGUCUUUGGGUUCUGGGGGGAGUAUAGUCGCAAGACCGAAACUUAAAGGAAUUGACGGAAAGGCACCACCAGGAGUGGAGUCUGCGGCUUAAUUCGACUCAAC
rnacentral:rRNA from 1 species